ACCAGACUCCUACGGGAGGCAGCAGUGGGGAAUAUUGCACAAUGGGGGAAACCCUGAUGCAGCGACGCCGCGUGGGCGAGGAAGUACCUCGGUAUGUAAAGCCCUAUCAGCAGGGAAGAAACAGGACAGUACCUGACUAAGAAGCCCCGGCUAAAUACGUGCCAGCAGCCGCGGUAAUACGUAUGGUGCAAGCGUUAUCCGGAUUUACUGGGUGUAAAGGGAGCGCAGGCGGUACGGCAAGUCUGAUGUGAAAGCCCGGGGCUCAACCCCGGUACCGCAUUGGAAACUGCCGGACUGGAGUGUCGGAGGGGUAAGUGGAAUUCCUAGUGUAGCGGUGAAAUGCGUAGAUAUUAGGAGGAACACCAGUGGCGAAGGCGGCUUACUGGACGAUCACUGACGCUGAGGCUCGAAAGUGUGGGGAGCAAACAGGAUUAGAUACCCUAGUA
rnacentral:rRNA from 1 species